CCGGAGAGGCAGGCUGGGCAGUAACUCCUCUUGCUGACUGCACAGGGCCAUGCAACAGUUGGAGGCUUGUACUACACUCUGCUAAGGAGGUUCAGGGCAAGCAGCCUGCUAUCCCUAGCGAUGGGGAGACACGAACCAGAUCGGGAUCUGUUUGUUGUGCUGGAGCCUAGUAGGAGCCAUGCUCUCAGGUGAAGUCUCUGUAGGUUUUGAAGGUAAAUCUAUCCGGCAUCUUGCAAGAGAAGAUUCAGCAAGAGUGGAAGAGUACACGGUGCACAUACAGUCAUCCUCAACAGAUCCAUCUAGGAAGUUCCCUACUGCUGGAAAAUGGACCUAGACACAUCCAGUCAAAGAGAUCUCUCCUGGUGACCUGUGAAUGAAUGAACUCCCUCACAAAUAUUCAUAAGUUCUGUCCACCAGUCCAGGAAGGACAAAACCUGAGCUGGUACUUGAACCAUCUUGUCCAUGUGAUGAUGGGCCAGUAGUACACCGAGACUAUCCAAUGCUCUAGAUCUCUGAGGGGUAGAAAGACAUGCUGCACCACAUAAAUCAGUGGUUCCCAAACUGUGAUGUGCACCCACCCCCGGGCAGGGCUGGAGCAGCCCCCACAGGGGUGGGGAGGGUAGUACCACACUUCCAGCCCUGCUCUGCCCCCAGACCAGCUCUGCUUUUAGGCCCAGCUCUGCCCUCAUUCCCUCCCGACCCACAGACCAGCUCCGACCCAAGCCACAGCUCCAUUCCUCCCACCGGGCUCUCCUCUCAUUCCCUCUCUGCCCCCAGACCAGUUCCACGCCCCAGCUGCAGCUCCACUCUGCUCCCUUCUCUGCCCUUAUUCCCUCCCCACCCCCCAGACCCGCUCUGACCCCUGCUGGGCUCUGCCCUCAUUCUCUCUCUGCCCCCAGACCAGCUCUGAACCCAGCUGCAGCUCUAUUCCAGUCCCUGCUUCACCCCCAGGCUGGCUCCGCCCCCAGCUGCAGCUCCACUCCACCCUCUGCUCUGCCUUCAUUUCCUGUCUGCCCCAGACCAGCUCCGGCUCUAGCCACAGCUCCUCCCACAUCCCCAAUUCUGCCCCAGCUCUACCUUCUGGGAUAUUGUUUUCUUUUGGGGAAAGACAGGGAGUGUUUAAAAAUCAGUCAUAACAAGAAACUAGCUCCAUCCUUUACUGUGGAGUCCCUAUUGCCACAUCAAAAGAUGAGUCAAGAAAGCAGUUCUGCUGAGUAAGGAGUAAUUGUUUUUUACAUAGUCACUUUUCUGGCCAUACAUUUAAAAAGAAAGUUAUUAAAGUGUAUAGGAAAUAGCCACAAUCUUGUCUAAGGGCAGGUGCCCAUUGGAAUAGCCACAUUUAAAAUGUUACAGUAGUAUAAGUAGAUCAGCUAAUCCAUAUUCAGACAAUCUUCUCCCCAAAAGGCUUCAUGAAGAACUAUGCACAUGCCAAAUUAAGAUAGCCUUUUUUACAACAGAAAAAUAUAAAACGGUGCAAGUUUAUUUACUGCUUUGUUCAAGCAAAAACUGGCUUUGCCAAUUUAAAUUAAGUUUGACAGAAACAACUGCAAAAGUACAAUAUAACAAUAAAAAGAAAAAUCACAUGAACAGCAAUUCCAGAAAACCUUCACUGCUGCUAUUUAUUCUCUGUUCUGUUUAUUUUGCCAUUUUCUCUGGAUCUGAUUGUCCUGCACCUGGGAGCAGAAGAGCUGAGAGAAAGGUAAACUUGAGAAGCACAUUGCUCAGCAGCCAAGUUGUGGGGCAACUCUGACAACGAAGAAGAUUGUUGCUUUCUUUGUGUUCUAUCUAUAAUUGCAGGGGGAUAUAUUUCAUCUGUUGUGAACAUAUUUGUUCUUCCUCACACCUCAAAAGAAAAAACACUGGGCGUGUCGGUUGCUAACCAUUCCCAUAUAAGAAGGCAGAGGUAGGAAACCUCAGACUAAUUUCAGGACCAAUCUGAUCUUACUGAAAUCAGUGGCAAAAUUGUUUCAUGGAGUUCAGUAGGAGUUAAGAUCAGACCUCAAACCACAGAGAGCCAAGGUGGAAGCAAAUUACCAUAUGGUAGAAAGGAAGACCAGCUAGCAAUGGAGGUCUUUAGAUUGGAACAUUAUAUAUCAUAACGUUAUUUUCAAUUUUUCUAUUUGACUAUUUAUAAAUGUUAAGUGUAUACAUUCACAGACUUCUACUUUUUUACCUUCUGAAAGACACAACUCUAUUAAAAAAGCCUUACUGACAUUGACUUAAUGUGUCAGCUAAGGAUACAUGUUUUUAAACCCAAUCCAACCCAAAUUACAUGUGCCAAGACAUAAGAAAAAUAAAAUA